AGGAACUCUUCAUAGAAUAGCUUCUUUUCCAGAAUUGUUUUAGAAUCCUUUCUUCCUCCCUCUUCUUCUUUCUUUAUCUCUUUCUUUCUCUCUCCUUUUGUGCUCUCUCUCUCUCUCUCUCUCUCUCUCUCUCUCUCUCUCUUUCUUCCUCCCUUCCUUUGUCUUUUUGAGAUGAGGUUUUUCUUUUAGAGUACGGGCUCCUCAGAUUCAGAGGGCAGGUGAGGAUGACUUUGAACUCCAGCCACCCCUGACUCUCCCUUCCGUGUGCUGGGAUCACAGGCAGAUGCCACUAUGCCUGGCCUAAUGGAUUUUUUUUUUGUCUUGGAAAAAAUGAAAGAAAGAAAGAAAGAAAGAGAGAAAGAGAGAGAAAGAAAGGGAAAAAGAAAGAAAUGAAAGGAGAGAGGAAGAGAAGAGAAGAACUUAAGGAAUGUGCUUCUGCCACCCACGGAGCGUCUAAGUUUAUUUUGUGAGUAAGAUGAGUCAUGUGCUUUGAAGACCAGGGUGGCGAUAUCUUAAUGAGAUAAAUUUCUGUCUGUUCAACAAUACAUUCUGGAAUGUCUGAGAGAUCCUGAGUAGAAGGCUAAGAUGCCAGGGAGAUCACGAAGGAAGGACAGAGGCUGAAGACAUACUAAAGAAAGAAACAGUGCAAGAGAACAGAGAUGAUGUUUGUACUCUUUAAAGACUCUUUUGUCCUACCUUUCUUUCUUUAGCCUUCCCUUCCUCUGUCCCUCCCUUCCCCUUCUCUUUUCUCUUCAGUCCUUCCCUCCCUCCCUCCCUCCCUCCCUCCCUCCCUCCCUCCCUCCCUCCCUCCCUUUCUUUGUCUUUCUCCCCUCUCCUUUUUUGGAGAAAUGAUCUCACUGAAAAAAAUCCAGGCUAACCUCAAACUGGGAAUCCUCCUGCCUCAGCUUCUGAGCUGUUGGGUGUGUGCCAACAGGCCUGGCUUAGCUUUCGUUUCUUAGAGGCCUGAGUCCAAGUCCAAGGUAAAGCCAUUAGCAGCAAUCAGCUAGCAAGUGGAAUCUGAAAGGAGAGAAGAUGCAACUAUAGGAACAUAUUUUCAGGUCAUUGACAUCGAAAUGGUAACUGAACAGAAGUGUUGUAUGUCUUGGAGAACUUAACGCGUUUACCUGCCUUAGAGAGUAAAUAUAUGGUGGCAGCAGAGGACCCAUUCCACAAGGUGGAGUCAUCUGACUUGGCCAUGUCCCCACAUCCACCCCACCUCCCUACCAAGGCAAAUAAAGAAAAUUAAAAAAAUUAAAAGACCCCUAUUUUUAAACGUAGAGUGAGUUGUUUUAUUAUCUAUGUGUUGGCAAAUAUCUGAUUCUGUGUGUGUGUGUGUGUGUGUGUGUGUGUGUGUGUGUGUGUGUCUAUACAAGCCACAUGCAGAGGCCAGAGGAGGAUAUCCAAUGUCCCAAUACUAUUAAUGCCUACCUUAUUCUCAUUGAGUCACUUGAAUCAGCAGGCAAUCCUCCAGUUAACAGCUCUGGGGUUACAGGAGCACAGCACAGCACCAGGCUUUUAAAGUAGAUGCUUGGGAUUCAAACUCACAUUUUGACCAUGUUUGACCAGCAAGAUCUACUGUACGGUCCCACCACCAUUGGUAAUCAUGCUAAUCCAUUUGC